AUUCGGCUGAUGAGUCUCAAAUAGGUUGAAACACGCGUCCUGGAU
rfam:Schistosoma curassoni strain Dakar, Senegal genome assembly, scaffold: SCTD_scaffold0000217